rnacentral:lncRNA from 1 species
GCUCUCCCCUCCUGCUAAGCUUUGUUUCCUGGCAGUAAUUAAAACCUUCUGCCACUGCCAUAGCUACUGCUUUUGCUGGAACCAUCAUAGCCACUUUGGUUUUGUGGUUUGGCAAAGUAUUGGCCUCCACCACCAUAGGGGCCAGAGCUUCUGCCUCCAGAAUUUGAAGACUGACUGUUGUAAUUGCCAAAAUCAUUAUAGCUUCUGCCACCUCCAAAGUUGCUUCCAUCGAUACCAAAUCCGUUAUAGCCAUCCCCACUGCCACCAUCCACCAUCACUUCGACUGCCACCAAAGCCACCUCACCCACUGAAGUUUCCUCCACGGCCAAAGUUGUCAUUCCCACCAAAAACACCUCCAUGACCACCACCGAAGUUUCCAGAACCACUUCGACCUCUUUGGCUGGAGGAAGCACUAGCCAUCUCUUACUUAGAUGAAACUUUCCUUACUUUACGGUUGUGGCCAUUCACAGUAUGGUAUUUUUUGAAUGACGAUCUUGUCUACAGGGUCAUGGUCAUCAAACAUUACAAAAGCAAAGCCUCUCUUUUUGCCACUGCCUCGGCCAGUCAUGAUUUCAAUCACUUCAGUUUUCCCGUACUGUUCAAAAUAAUCUCUUAGAUGAUGUUCUUCAGUGUCUUCUUUAAUGCCACCGACAAAAAUCUUUUUCACAGUUAAGUGGGGACCAGGUGUUUGAGAAGCUUCUCUCGAGAUAGCCCUCUUUGGUUCUACUACUCUUCCAUCCACCUUGUGUGGCCUUGCAGUCAUGGCUGCAUCUGUCUCUUCCACAGUGGCCUACGUGACAAACCCAAAGCCUCCGGAGUGCUUGGUGUUUGGGUCUGUCGUUGCCACACAGUCCGUGAGCAUUCCCCAUUGCUCAGAAUGGCUCCUCAGACUCAUCCAUUGUCUCAAAGCUCAAACCUCUGAUGAAAACCUUCUGUGGCUUUUUAGGCUCUUUGGGAUACUCUGACUUAGACAUGACAGCGGUGGGAGGGGAGACUUUAAGGAUGCUUAAAGGCAGCAUCUACAGGCAGAAAG